rnacentral:tRNA from 1 species
GGAGAGUUGGUCGAGCGGCUGAAGGCGCCGGUCUUGAAAACCGGAGAGGGUGCAAGCCCUCCGUGGGUUCAAAUCCCACACUCUCCGCCA